rnacentral:rRNA from 1 species
UACGGAGGGUGCAAGCGUUAUCCGGAUUUACUGGGUUUAAAGGGUGUGUAGGCGGACAAUUAAGUCCGUGGUGAAAUCUCCGGGCUCAACCCGGAAACUGCCAUGGAUACUAUUUGUCUUGAAUAUUGUUGAGGUGGGCGGAACGGGUCAUGUAGCGGUGAAAUGCAUAGAUAUGACCCGGAACACCGAUUGCGAAGGCAGCCCACUAAGCAAUGAUUGACGCUGAGGCACGAAAGCGUGGGGAUCAAACAGG